CAGCCUGCCGCGAGGCCCCGUGCAGCAGCCCCUCGAGGAGCGGAUCUUCACGCCGACCGUCUCCGCCGUGUACAGCACUGUAACACAAGUAGCAAGACAGCCGGGUCCUCCUGCCCCGUCCCCUUACUCUGCACAUGACAUAAGCAAGGGACACCCCAAUCUUGCUGCCACGCCACCGGGACACGCGGCGUCCCCCGGGCUCUCACAGGCUCCGUACCCCCCAGGACAGAAUG